AAUAGGAAGUAAAUACGGAAACGCUUGGAAAUACAGAAGUAAAUACAGAAGCGACGACACUGCUGGCUGGAGCAGUACACAAGCUCCAAGAUGCCAACAGGAGCUGGGGAUUGUGUCAUCCAGUAAAUCCCAAAGAAGUCUAUCUCGAUCUUCCAACCAUGGACCAUUGGUGGGAGCAUAUCUGGCUGACUGUAGCACCUCCUGUAUAUGGCUGCCUGGUAGUUUGCCCACUGCAGGGGUUUCCAUAAGGCAUCCCUGUUUGGUGGCAGGCUUCUGUCUGUGCACUUGCCACUUGUGAACAUUUGCAUAGUUGACAUCUCCACCGCCUUUGAGGUCAUAGAGGGCACAUGUAAAUGCUUCAGUUGCUUCAUAUAAUUCUCUUCUUGGUUGAAAAGAUGUUCCCAACUUCUUUAAAGUGACAGUGCUCUUUUUCAGACAGCAGUGUUUUCAUGGCCUUCACUUUAUUAACACCAUGGAAAGUACUCACUGUAUCACAGCCAGUGAAACAGUGGAGACCAGUCAGAGCAUCAGAGGCGUCAUCACCAAGAUGGCUAUGGAUUCUCUGGACAUGAAUGGUGCAGUUGUUUGCCCCCUCCCCAGUGUCAAGACUGUUGAUGAUAAUAUUCGAGCUAUAGUGUGAGGCAUGAGCACAGUGAAGGAACAGCUGAGUGUCUGCCUCCUCCUGUGUUGUGAACAGUGCUGGCAGUGGUAAGACCUCCAGCUCUGUGCCACUGUUGGCCAUUCGUAUUGUGUGACACUCAGACCCAUGUCCAACUAUCAGCGAAAUAUCUUCUAUUUGGUCUUUUCUGGACUUUGGCUAUGUUCAUGUUUGACCUGUUCUUAUUUACACUUUAACUUCAAUAUGGUUUUCAAUGCAAGACUUUCUUUUAUAGUGCAGUAUUUUCACUUAAAGGUUAUGAAUACUUUCCACCACUGUAUAGCAUUUGUAUGAUCAGAAAUUUUAACGUGCUGUCCAAAGUAAAAUCUAUGAUGUUGUACAAACCUUUAA